rnacentral:rRNA from 1 species
AUGCCUGAAGGAGAGGAAGAUGUACGUAUACCACGGGCAAAACCAGAUCUACCAGACACUCACAAAUUUGCAGCAUAUAUUGCACUAAAAGCACUUAGCAGGGAUGGAGAAAUUGACAAGAGAGACAAAGAACGUGUAGCUGGUCUGCUGAACACAAGUGUCAGAACCGUUGAAAGAAUAUGGAAGGAGGCAAAUGCCCAGCUUGCAAGAGGAGAAGAGAUCAAUGUGUCUAAUAAAAGGAAGCGGAGAUGUGGUAGAAAGAGGGCAGACCUUGAUCUCUCGAGGAUACCUUCAAUUCCCCUCAACAAAAGGUCUACACUGAGGGCACUCGCUAGGUCUCUGGAUGUACCAUAUUCUACCUUGCGGAGAAGGUUC